rnacentral:rRNA from 1 species
ACUCCUACGGGAGGCAGCAGUGGGGAAUAUUGCACAAUGGGCGCAAGCCUGAUGCAGCCAUGCCGCGUGUAUGAAGAAGGCCUUCGGGUUGUAAAGUACUUUCAGCGGGGAGGAAGGCGAUAAGGUUAAUACCUUUGUCGAUUGACGUACCCGCAGAA